GGUGGGGUCUUUAGUUAAGGGUCUAUGGGGUAAAACCUUAGGAGGCUGCCACUAUAGCAAAAUGGAAGAGUAUUACAAGUGUAUGUGAACAUUUUAGUGACAAAUUCAAUAUAUUACUGCAUGAACAUUUUAAACUUAUCCUUUUUUAUCCUAAGUUUGGUGAAAUUCAAAAAUGGUAAAUUGGCUUUGACCUUGAUAAAUGACCUUGUCAUUUACCAAACCACAAUGAUUUAAUCUUGUCCUUUUAAUUCACCAGGUAUAAUGAAGUUUCGAUGUUGUAUUAAAAAUUGGUUCGAAAGUUAUGACCAAAGUUAGACAGACAGACAAAUAGACCAAAAGCAAUAUGCUCCUUGAUCAAUUUUGGGGAUGAAAAUAUGACAGGUAUGAUUAAAAAACAAUGCAUGUCUAUUUCGCAAUAGUCCACAAAUUAAACAAGCAUUCUGAGAGCAUUGCUUAAACAAUACAUGUCCCAUACUGGCGCCCCCAUCAUCUGACAGAUGUAAUUUGAGAGAAUGUACAUUUAAUGUUGUUUGACCUUGAACUAUGACCCAAAAUAUUGGUAACAAGUCACCAUGUUUACCAAUAUCGAAUUAGUUUGAUGUUUCGUUGUUCAUACAGUUGACGCAUGUAUAGUUUUUACUAGUAAUGAAAUAGUCUUAUUCAGAACUCUAUAACUUAAAAAUAAACACAGUAAAUCAGGGUUUGAUAACUAUAAUUAUAAAAACAACCAAGAAAAUUUGGUACUCCCUCAUCGUGCAUUUCAAAAAUCAUCAAAUCUGAGUCAUCGUCUUUGCAAAAAAGAUGAGGGGGAAAUAAUUGUGCAAAUGGAACACAACACAACACACUGAUAUAACAUUCAUAUCUGCAUUCUAAUUAUACAGAUUAGAAACAACUAUUGUAAUACUGCUUACUAUCAUCUUAUGGAAGGCUGAUUUCGAAAACCCACGAGUUCAGUCUGAUUGCAUAAAUGCGGUAAAUUGAGUACUGCCGACCGAUCAGACUUUGUUCACUAACUACUGAAAAAAUACUCAACAGAUUUGAUAUACAUUUUCAUUGAUAUAUGUUUCUUUUGGGAUAAUUGAGCUUGAAAUAUCAAAUCAAUAAAGUGAUUAUUUACACAAUCAGCGAUCAAGUUUCAAUGACUGUCUCUAUUCAGAUGUCCUACUUUUACAGCCUUUCCAUCAGAACACGAUCCAAUGAAUGUAAAAAAAUUGUACAAUAUAAAAAUCAGUUUCGCAAGCAUAACGGAAAAACAGUCCGGAAAACUAAUGAGACAGACUGAUUGACUGACAGAGGGAUUGACAGAGAAGAGACCUGAAGUCUCCUUUGGUUUUACAAACCAUUAGGGGACUAAUAAAUGUUUCUGUUAACUCAAUGGAAUAUAGGUUUUGCUUAAGAUUUAAAUGAUAAAAAAAUUGCACCAUCCUAAAGAUCCAAAAAUCGCAUGGAAUAUUUUCAAUGUCAUAUCAUACCCACUGACAAUCAACUAUAAAUCAAUCUGAAUCGGUUCUCAUUGAUGUUGUUACAAUUUGUCAGUCAGUCAAUUUCAGUAUCACAGAGAGCAGAAGAAGUCCCAACUCAUUCUUCAACUCACCACCAUCUUGAUGUUAAAGGCCUUCGAAUUCCAACAGAGCAUAAAAUUCAUGAACACAUGUAGAAGAUACCACCACAUUAAAAGGGAAGUAACUCCAGCUGUCGCUAGCUACAACAGGUUCAUAUUAAGAAAGAUAACUCUUAAGAUCCUGCUCUACUUACGAUUCAUGACUGUCCAUCACAUGAGAGGCAGACCUCUUUCGGUUGUCCAAUUUGGUUACACUCUUUGUUCUUUUCAGAUUGCUGGACUUGAACCCCUUCUUCAUGAAGAAAUUCUGAAGGAUUAAAACAUUUGAAA